rnacentral:rRNA from 1 species
GGACAUAUCGGGUCAUUGGAGAGGGUUAUAGAUCAUCCUCGAAUUAUACAACAGCGGACACUUAGGAAAAUCCGGGUGUCAUUUACGAAAGAGUAUAGUUUCUCUCAAAGUGAAAGCGUAAGCUCGAGCAAUGAGAAGUCCUACAAUGAUUUGGUAUCGAGAAAAGCCACUAAGGAGAAUUAUUUGAAACCGUACCGCAAUCGAACACUCGUGGGCUGGUGUGAGUACACCAAGGUGGACGGGAUAACUAUGCUUAAGGAACUCUGCAAAACAGCGGUCGUAACUUCGGGAUAAGACCUGCCUGGAGAGUAAUUUACUCUUCAGGCCGCAGCUAACGAGCCCAGGCGACUGUUUGCCAAAAACACAGCUCUCUGCAAACACGUAAGUGGAAGUAUAGGGGGUGAUGCCUGCCCAGUGCCAGAAGAUUACGGGGAGGGGUGCAAGCUCUGAACUUAAGUCCUGGUGAACGGCGGCCGUAACGAUAACGGUCCUAAGGUAGCGAAAUUCCUUGUCGGGUAAGUUCCGACCCGCACGAAUGGCAUAACGGUCUGGGCACUGUCUCAAGCAUAGUCCCGGUGAAAUUGCAAUAUCGGUAAAAAUGCCGAUUACUCGCAGCAAGACGGAAAGACCCUAUGAAGCUUUACUCUAACUUGGCACUGAUGUAUUCAGUUUGAUGCGCAGGAUAGGUGGGAGACUAUGAAAGAGACCCUCUGGGGUUUCCCGAGUCAUCCUUGAGAUACCACCCUCCACUCUGUGUACAUCUAACCCCAUAUUGGGGGACAGUGCUUGGCGGGGAGUUUAACUGGGGCGGUUGCCUCCUAAAAGAUAACGGAGGCGCACAAAGGUAUGCUAGUCCCGGAUGGAAAUCGGGAUGGUCGUGUAUUCGCAUAAGCAUGCUUAACUGAGAGACCAACAAGUCGAUCAGAUACGAAAGUAGGUGAAAGUGAUCCGGCACCAACAUGUGGGAGUGGUGUCGCUCAACGGAUAAAAGUUACUCUAGGAUAACAGGCUGAUUCCGUCCAAGAGUUCACAUCGACGACGGAGUUUGGCACCUCGAUGUCGGCUCGUCGCAUCCUGGGGGUGGAGAAGCUCCCAAGGGUAUGGCUGUUCGCCAUUUAAAGCGGUACGCGAGCUGGGUUCAGAACGUCGUGAGACAGUUUGGCCCCUAUCUGCUGUGAGCGUUUAGGAAUUUGAUGGGAUUUGCUCCUAGUACGAGAGGACCGGAGUGAACGAACCUCUGGUGGAUCAGCUGUCGCUCUAGCGGCACUGCUGAGUAGCUACGUUCGGAAUGGAUAACCACUGAAAGCAUCUAAGUGGGAAGCCAAUCCAAAGAUGAGAUUCCUCCAAGAAUUUAUUCUUGAUAAGUGCCCUUGGAGACUACAAGGUUGAUAGGUUGCAGGUGUACGAACAGUGAUGUUCUCAGCCGAGCAAUACUAAUAGCAC